UACGUAGGGCGCGAGCGUUGUCCGGAAUUAUUGGGCGUAAAGAGCUCGUAGGCGGCCUGUUGCGUCCGCUGUGAAAUCCCAGGGCUUAACCCUGGGCGUGCAGUGGAUACGGGCAGGCUGGAGGCAGGCAGGGGAGAACGGAAUUCCCGGUGUAGCGGUGAAAUGCGCAGAUAUCAGGAGGAACACCGGUGGCGAAGGCGGAUCUCUGGGCCGAUACUGACGCUGAGGAGCGAAAGCGUGGGGAGCGAACAGG
rnacentral:rRNA from 1 species